AGCAGCAGGAAGCAUCAUGGAGCCUGUCUCAGUUGGUCUGUCUGCUCAUGGCCUGCGUGUGUUCAUUACCUCGUAAUGUGGAGAUACCCAAGACUGAGCGCCUGCUGUCACAACUGGAGGAGUUGAGCUGCAGCUGCAGCCACCUGAUGACCUACACCUCUGCCGCUAAGUGUUUUGCAGGCCUGAUCAACAAGAAACCUGAGGGUGAUUUUCUCAACAGCUCAGUUCAGAGAGCAAUGCAACGAGUGUACAGUGAGUUGGACAGCCCCUCUUCUCCUGUUCGCACUCAGGCCUUCACACUGAUGAUUUGGGUAAUUAUAAUUAUUAUUGCUGCUGCAAGGCGAAAGA